UACGGAGGGUGCGAGCGUUUGUUCGGAAUUACUGGGCGUAAAGCGCGUGCAGGCGGUCGAUUAAGUCCGGUGUGAAAGCCCGGGGCUCACCCCCGGAAGUGCGCUGGAAACUAAUCAACUAGAGUACGGGAGAGGGAAGUGGAAUCCUGGUGUAGCGGUGAAAUGCGUAGAUAUCAGGAGGAACACCGGCGGCGAAGGCGGCUUCCUGGACCGAUACUGGCGCUGAGACGCGAAAGCGUGGGGAGCAAACAGG
rnacentral:rRNA from 1 species